AGAAAAUUCGACCUAUCCUUGCGAAGCUCGCGCCUCUCUUCCUUUGCGAACGAUCGCCAUCAACUAACGAUUCUGUCAAAAACUGACGCGUUGGAUGAGGAGAAGUGGCUUAAUAUGCUUGGCACGUUCGUCAAGGACUGGUUUAGAUAUGAGUCACAUUUUGUUCAUGGUAGAGAUUCUCUUGUUGACAUUUUAA
rnacentral:rRNA from 1 species